GCCCCACUGGCCCAAUCUCGGCAGAGGCGCCUGACUUAGAAUCAGGAGGUUCGCGGUUCGAAUCCGCGGUGGGGUACCA
rnacentral:tRNA from 1 species